rnacentral:tRNA from 1 species
GCCCAGGUGGCGGAACGGUAUACGCGCUAGCUUGAGGUGCUAGUUCCCGCAAGGGAUUGGAGGUUCAAAUCCUCUCUUGGGCA